rnacentral:rRNA from 1 species
AGUGAACGCUGGCGGUAGGCCUAACACAUGCAAGUCGAACGGCAGCACAGUAAGAGCUUGCUCUUACGGGUGGCGAGUGGCGGACGGGUGAGGAAUACAUCGGAAUCUACUUUUUCGUGGGGGAUAACGUAGGGAAACUUACGCUAAUACCGCAUACGACCUACGGGUGAAAGCAGGGGAUCUUCGGACCUUGCGCGAUUGAAUGAGCCGAUGUCGGAUUAGCUAGUUGGCGGGGUAAAGGCCCACCAAGGCGACGAUCCGUAGCUGGUCUGAGAGGAUGACCAGCCACACUGGAACUGAGACACGGUCCAGACUCCUACGGGAGGCAGCAGUGGGGAAUAUUGGACAAUGGGCGCAAGCCUGAUCAAGCCAUACCGCGUGGGUGAAGAAGGCCUUCGGGUGGUAAAGCCCUUUUGUUGGGAAAGAAAAGCAGCAGGUUAAUACCCCGCUGUUCUGACGGUACCCAAAGAAUAAGCACCGGCUAACUUCGU